ensembl:rRNA 5S_rRNA 5S ribosomal RNA
GCUUACGGUCACACUACCCUGACAAUGCCUGAUCUCAUCUGAUCUCGGAAGCUAAGCAGGGUUUGGCCUGGUUAGUACUUGGAUGGGAGACCAUCUGGGAAUACCAGGUGCUGUAAGCU